rnacentral:tRNA from 1 species
UAUAUAAUAAGCUAAAUAAAGCUUAUAGGUUCAUACCCUAUCGAUAAAUUAUGAAAUUUUUAUGUAA